rnacentral:misc_RNA from 1 species
CCGAGUUUACAACUUCCAAACCCAAUGUGAACCAUACCAAACUGUUGCCUCGGCGGGGUCACGCCCCGGGUGCGUCGCAGCCCCGGAACCAGGCGCCCGCCGGAGGGACCAACCAAACUCUUUCUGUAGUCCCCUCGCGGACGUUAUUUCUUACAGCUCUGAGCAAAAAUUCAAAAUGGAUCA